CAGGUGGCCGAGCGGUCUAAGGCGUUGCAUUAAGGUUGCAGUCUCCCAUGGAGGCGUGGGUUCAAAUCCCAAUUCUG
rnacentral:tRNA from 1 species